rnacentral:rRNA from 1 species
AUGCCGGAUGCUCCGACUCCUCGCAUGGGGUGUCGGGAAAGAUUUCAUCGGUAUGGGAUGGGGUCGCGUCCUAUCAGGUAGUCGGCGGGGUAACGGCCCACCGAGCCUACGACGGGUAGCCGGCCUGAGAGGGCGACCGGCCACAUUGGGACUGAGAUACGGCCCAGACUCCUACGGGAGGCAGCAGUGGGGAAUAUUGCACAAUGGGCGCAAGCCUGAUGCAGCGACGCCGCGUGCGGGAUGACGGCCUUCGGGUUGUAAACCGCUUUUGAUCGGGAGCAAGCCUUCGGGUGAGUGUACCUUUCGAAUAAGCACCGGCUAACUACGUGCCAGCAGCCGCGGUAAUACGUAGGGUGCAAGCGUUAUCCGGAAUUAUUGGGCGUAAAGGGCUCGUAGGCGGUUCGUCGCGUCCGGUGUGAAAGUCCAUCGCUUAACGGUGGAUCUGCGCCGGGUACGGGCGGGCUGGAGUGCGGUAGGGGAGACUGGAAUUCCCGGUGUAACGGUGGAAUGUGUAGAUAUCGG